rnacentral:rRNA from 1 species
UACGAAGGGGGCUAGCGUUGUUCGGAGUUACUGGGCGUAAAGGGCGCGUAGGCGGCCUGAUCAGUCUGGCGUGAAAGCCCGGGGCUCAACCCCGGAACGGCGCUGGAGACGGUGGGGCUAGGGUUCCGGAGAGGAUGGUGGAAUUCCCAGUGUAGAGGUGAAAUUCGUAGAUAUUGGGAAGAACACCGGUGGCGAAGGCGGCCAUCUGGACGGAUACCGACGCUGAGGCGCGAAAGCGUGCGGAGCAAACAGG